rnacentral:rRNA from 1 species
AGAGUUUGAUCAUGGCUCAGAUUGAACGCUGGCGGCGUGCCUAAUACAUGCAAGUCGAGCGAAUCUUUGGGAGCUUGCUCCCGAAGGUUAGCGGCGGACGGGUGAGUAACACGUGGGCAACCUGCCUGUAAGACUGGGAUAACUUCGGGAAACCGGAGCUAAUACCGGAUAAUCCUUUCCCUCACAUGAGGGAGAGCUGA